rnacentral:rRNA from 1 species
UACGGAGGGGGCUAGCGUUGUUCGGAAUUACUGGGCGUAAAGCGCACGUAGGCGGCUUUGUAAGUUAGAGGUGAAAGCCCGGGGCUCAACUCCGGAAUUGCCUUUAAGACUGCAUCGCUAGAAUUGUGGAGAGGUAAGUGGAAUUCCGAGUGUAGAGGUGAAAUUCGUAGAUAUUAGGAAGAACACCAGUGGCGAAGGCGGCUCACUGGUCCGGUACUGACGCUGAGGUGCGAAAGCGUGGGGAGCAAACAGG